rnacentral:rRNA from 1 species
AUGGAGGCCACCACCUCGCCGACCCAUCUCCUGCAGCACUGCUCCGGCAGCGAUGAGCUGGGACGGUCUAUGAGGGUGUACUCCGCUGCGACCGGGAAGGUGCCGUUUGGGUGGGAGGACGAGCCGGGGAAGCCCAAGAGCCCGCCGAGGGAGGGCGCCCUCCCGCCGUUGUGCCCUUCCCCGGCGAUGCAGAGCGCACGGCUCACAGAUAAAGAUAGGCGGCGGCGACAGAGUCUCAAGCGCCGGGCGGAUCAAGGCGGCUUUGAAGGGUGCCUGCCGGUGAAGUUCCAGCUGGGGAGAGCCAUGAGGAGGUGGGACAUCGUUUGCUACUUCAGAGGAGAAUGA